AACGAACGCUGGCGGCAGGCCUAACACAUGCAAGUCGAGCGCCCUUUCGGGGGAGCGGCGGAUGGGUGAGUAACGCGUGGGAAUAUGCCCUUCUCUACGGAAUAGCCUCGGGAAACUGAGAGUACUACCGUAUACGCGCUGUGGGGGAAAGAUUUAUCGGGGAAGGAUUAGCCCGCGUUGGAUUAGGUAGUUGGUGGGGUAAUGGCCUACCAAGCCGACGAUCCAUAGCUGGUUUGAGAGGAUGAUCAGCCACACUGGGACUGAGACACGGCCCAGACUCCUACGGGAGGCAGCAGUGGGGAAUCUUAGACAAUGGGGGCAACCCUGAUCUAGCCAUGCCGCGUGAGUGAUGAAGGCCUUAGGGUUGUAAAGCUCUUUCAGCUGGGAAGAUAAUGACGGUACCAGCAGAAGAAGCCCCGGCUAACUCCGUG
rnacentral:rRNA from 1 species